rnacentral:tRNA from 1 species
UGCGGGGUAGCGCAGCGGUAGAGCGUCGGAGUCAUAAUCCGAAGGGCGAUGGUUCGAUCCCAUCCCCCGCAUCCA